CUUGCUAGUGGCGGACGGGCGAGUAACGCGUGAGCAACCUGCCCCUCAGAGGGGAAUAACGUCCGGAAACGGACGCGUAAUACCGCAUAACGCAGCGGGAGCGCAUGCCUUCUGCUGCCAAAGGAGCAAUCCGCUGGAGGGAUGGGCUCGCGUCCGAUUAGCUGGUUGGCGGGGUAACGGCCCACCAAGGCGACGAUCGGUAGCCGAACUGAGAGGUUGAUCGGCCGCAUUGGGACUGAGACACGGCCCUGACUCCUACGGGAGGCAGCAGUGGGGGAUAUUGCACAAUGGAGGAAACUCUGAUGCCAGCAAUGCCGCGUGAGGGAAGACGGUCUUCGGAUUGUAAACCUAAGUAGACAGGAACGAUAAUGACGGUACCUGCAAAGUAAGCUCCGGCUAACUACGUGCCAGCAGCAGC
rnacentral:rRNA from 1 species